CUUUAUCUGGUCUGAUACAUAAAGCUAGAUGCAUUUUGAAAAAACUGAGGAAAACAGUAACGUCUACCAGGAAUCUGAAAGGCUGGAUUAAGUCAGUAAAAUAAUCCAGAACAAAUCUGCCUUGACCUAGAACUUUCUAUUUUUUCUACCUAUAUAUUCCUUCAGUUCUUUCAAGCUAGUCAAUGAAAUCCUUAUCAUCCUGUACCGUGAAUUAGAAUGCAAAGACCUUGAAGACAGAUUCUCUCCCUUUCUCCAGUCUCACUCUCUCACCC